CGUCCCCGCCCGCUCAGGCCGGCGCGCCCCGCACGGAUCCCGCCUGCUGCCGCUACUGCAGCCUCAGCACCAUGACCACUCCGCGCGCUGCGGUUACAGACUGUGGUUUUGUACCUGCCUCCCACAGCUAACUUCACCAUGCUCAAAAGAAAGCAGAGUUCCAGGGUGGAAGCCCAGCCAGUAACUGACUUUGGUCCUGACGAAUCUCUGUCAGACAAUGCUGACAUACUCUGGAUUAAUAAGCCA
rnacentral:lncRNA from 1 species